GGGCCUGUAGCGCAGCCUGGAUAGCGCAUCUGCCUUCUAAGCAGAGGGUCGUGGGUUCAAAUCCCAUCAGGCCCG
rnacentral:tRNA from 1 species